AGCCGAUUUGGCUCAUUUUGGAAAUGAUUGUUUUUGAUGAGAAUGGUGCCCCUCAUCUAAGUUCCAGACCUUUCCUUUUUGAAGAUGACUAUGACUGUGAAAGAAACGUGGAAACAUGUAUUAGGUAUGGCUCUGGUACCAACCAAAUGCCAAGGGAGACUCUACCUCACUGAGGCAAUAAAAAGGGGAGAAGCGGCCAUGAUUUCCCCAUUGCCUCCACCUUGGACACCUUAUCUUUGUUUCUAUCACUGAAGAAAACUGGACCAUGAAAAGCAAAGUCCCUAUUUGGAGCAAUUAAGCAAAGUCCCUAUCCAUAAUAAUUAUUGUCUUUUAAAAAAUAUAUUUAUUGAUUUCAGAGAGGAAGGAAAGAUAGAAACAUCAAUGAUGAGAAUCAUUGAUUGGCUGCCUCCUGCACGCCCCCUACUGGGGAUUGAAUCCACAA